rnacentral:rRNA from 1 species
UACGUAGGGCGCGAGCGUUGUCCGGAAUUAUUGGGCGUAAAGAGCUCGUAGGCGGCCUGUCGCGUCCGCUGUGAAAUCCCGGGGCUUAACCCCGGGCUUGCAGUCGAUACGGGCAGGCUAGAGUCGGCAGGGGAGACUGGAAUUCCUGGUGUAGCGGUGAAAUGCGCAGAUAUCGAGGAGGAACGACCGGUGGCGAAGGCGGGUCUCUGGGCCGAUACUG